rnacentral:lncRNA from 1 species
CAGAUUUCAUGGUUGUUUUUUAUUUCUGGAAGGCUGGGAGUCUGGGGAAACAGGCAGAGACUUCAGUCUGAAGAGAGAAGAGCUUGAGGAGACAUCCCAAGGUGUGCUACAGGAAUCAAUCACAACAAGAAAAUGACUUUGAAUGAGCCCAAUGUCACGUGACUGGAGAUUCUUGCUUAAUUUGAUACUAAGUUGGUUCCAAGUUCUUCAGAAUCAAGUUCUACAAUCUUGGGAAAAUGUACUCAUGGUUGGAAGCUUAGUGGAAACCUCUAGAAGCUGGUGAGCAGGACAACAAAAAGGUGGUGGUCUAGGAAGGGUGAAAAAGAAUAGUUGCUAAAAGAAAGCUUUAAUGCAAACAAUAACAGGGGAGAUCCCAAAUGUACACUGGGAUGGGGGCUUGGAAGCUGGCACCCACAGACGUGAAUUGGUAGAACUGGCCAUGGGAUUGAUAUUGAACAAGGUUGAGAUUUGGGGGAUGGCUUUCUAAUACCCCUGGACACCAAUUCUGAGCUAGUGGAGACUGUGUUGACCUCCUUCAGAUAUUUAGUACUAUAUGAGGGCCAUUUUUGGAUGGUCACGAUGGAGGUAUGGAAUAGCACCAUCAUCUGGUGGAUAACUGGAGCUCCUGAGCAUCCUCUAGUGUGAGUGACUGCAUCUUAGCAAAGGGCACAGCUCAGAAUGCCAAUGAUGCUGAAGUUAGACACUCUGGAGCCAUGCUGCACUUUGGAAGGGUGAGUAGUCAAGUAUUCAUGGAAUUUGGUGAUGUCCCUAGAAACACUGGAGCCACAUCAUUUUUUUAUUGUAGGAGCACAAAGGUAUUUAAGAUGUUUUCUUCAAGGGAGUGAUCUCCUUGAACGUGGAGCUAUGGCUUGAAAGCUGUUCUGAAACCGGUCCAUCUCAGUGCCUUACCAUGAUGAGAUACAAAGUUGAGGGGCUACUAUGACAGGGAAUAGCUUCCCUAACAAAGUACCUUUGUCCCUUCUCUCCUGCUGGUGCUUUCUCCUGUGGCCUCUAUGGCUCUGUGUUUCAUCUCCCUAGUUCAAAGGAAGCUGAGGGCUGUGGCUUCCCCAUUUCUGGGGCCUCCCACCAUCCCUGACAAAGGAAAGGCCCUUAAGAAAGAAAUGUUUCAUAGAGAAAAGCCGUCACCUAGCUUAAUGUAGCCCAACAGGCUGACAAUCGGAAAGAAAAAUAGGACAGGAGGAAGCAAACUAUUUCUGUGAUGAGUGUUCCAAAAUUAGACUGUAAGGGCCUGUGUUAUAUUUCCUCAGAA